rnacentral:lncRNA from 1 species
GUGGUUCAUCCCAGACAUAGACAUGCCCCUUUGAAGUAGAGAAACCAUAGUUAUCCUCUCUAUUCUGCUACCAUCGCCCAUAUACUAGAAUUGCUCUAUUCUCUAUUCCCAUAUUAUCACUCACUGUUAUCUUAUCUUUAAUAUUGUUCUUAUUCGAUUCUACCAUCUUUCCUAUUUACACCCAUUUACUUAUCUUGGUUAAGUUAGAGCGUAGAUCAGUUCUCCCGU